CUUAAAGCCCUUCGUGAGCUGCGAGCCGGAGGUGACGAUCACGGAACGAUCGGCGGAGGACGAGUGUCUGAUACUGGCGAGCGACGGUCUGUGGGACGUGGUGUCGAACGAGACAGCGUGCGGCGUGGCGCGAAUGUGCCUGAAGGGGAAGGUACCGGAGGGUGUGGAAGGGGCGGAGAAUGAGGGGGAAGGGGAGGCUUGGGACAAGGCGUGCUCCGACGCCUCCAUGCUGCUGACAAAGCUGGCCUUGGCUAGGCACACCGCGGACAACGUGAGCGUGGUGGUGGUGGAUCUUAGGAAGGACACGUAGAC
rnacentral:lncRNA from 1 species